rnacentral:rRNA from 1 species
GACGAACGCUGGCGGCGUGCUUAACACAUGCAAGUCGAACGAGUGGCGAACGGUUGAGUAAUACGUGGGUAACCUGCCCUCUUUUUGGGAUAAGCCGUGGAAACGGGAUCUAAUACCGACUCGAGGGGGCUGGGCGCGCAGCCUAUCCGCUUGUUGGUGGGGUGUUGGCCUACCAAGGCGGUGACGGGUAGCCGGCCUGGGAGGGUGACCGGCGAUAUGGGGACUGGUAGACGGCCCAGAGGCCCAAGGGCGGGAGCAGUGGGGUAUAUUGGUAAAGGGGGGCAAGCCUGAUGCCGCGUCGCCGCGUGGGGUAUGACGGCUUUCGGGUUGUAAACCUCUCGCGCCAUCGAACGGGUAGGUGGAGCAGAAGCGCCGGCUAACUACGUGACAGCCGCCGCGGUAAUAC